CUCAUCCCCUCACUCCAAGCGGACUAGCCGGCCGGCGGUGCCCUCAUCCGCCGCGACGCUGGCGCCGGCGAACUGCACCGUGCCAGACGCGCCGCCGCCGUUGCUGGCCUCGAAAUCCUCCAUCCCUAGUACCACGUCUUUGCGCCGCAUCCCAUCUGCAGGCGCGCGCGACGCCCCGCCGCUCCUAAUCGCCGGACUCCGGAGAGGGCCCCAUGGCCAUGGGGACGCCUCGCCGCCGUCUUCUUCGGUCUCAUACCCACUUAAUCCUCGUCGAAUAGAGUAGGGACGACGAACUACACAAGUAUGGCAUCUGAAGCCUGAAGGACAAGGAUGGGGAUAAAUCUCUAUUCUGAGUUAUAUUUUGUUUGUACACUUUAUAUUUUAGACCCUACGAAGUCCUCUAAUUACAUUAUUUAUACACCAACAGUGUGUGUGUGGCUAGUGGCUACUGAACAAAUCUGGGUACUUCACAAUAAAAAAUACCUGCAUACCUUUCGGAAA